rnacentral:rRNA from 1 species
GACGUAGGGCGCGAGCGUUGUCCGGAUUUAUUGGGCGUAAAGAGCUCGUAGGCGGCUUGUCGCGUCGGCUGUGAAAACCCGCGGCUCAACUGUGGGCGGGCAGCUGAUACGGGCAGGCUGGAGUUCGGUAGGGGAGACUGGAAUUCCUGGUGUAGCGGUGAAAUGCGCAGAUAUCAGGAGGAACACCUGUGGCGAAGGCGGCUUUCUGGGCCCUACCUGACGCUGAGACGCGAAAGCGUGGGGAGCGAACCGG